UGGGGAAGUAAUUGGACAAUGGGCGAAAGCCUGAUCCAGCAAUGCCGCGUGUGUGAAGAAGGUCUUCGGAUUGUAAAGCACUUUCGACGGGGACGAUGAUGACGGUACCCGUAGAAGAAGCCCCGGCUAACUUCGUGCCAG
rnacentral:rRNA from 1 species